rnacentral:rRNA from 1 species
UGCGUAGGCGGCGGCGCAAGUUGGGUGUGAAAUCCCUCGGCUCAACCGAGGAACUGCGCUCAAAACUGCGUCGCUUGAGGAAGAUAGAGGUGAGUGGAACUUAGGGUGGAGCGGUGAAAUGCGUUGAUAUCCUAAGGAACACCAGUGGCGAAAGCGACUCACUGGGUCUUCUCUGGCGCUGAGGCACGAAAGCUAGGGUAGCAACG